rnacentral:rRNA from 1 species
ACGCUCGACACCUACGGGAGCAGCAGUGGGGAAUAUUGCACAAUGGGGGAAACCCUGAUGCAGCGACGCCGCGUGGAGGAAGAAGGUCCUCGGAUUGUAAACUCCUGUUGUUGGGGAAAAAGAGGAUGGUACCCAACAAGGAAGUGACGGCUAACUACGUGCCGGCAGCCGCGGUAAUCUGAGCGGGCUGGCAAGGC